rnacentral:rRNA from 1 species
UACGUAGGGGGCAAGCGUUGUCCGGAUUUAUUGGGCGUAAAGAGCGUGUAGGCGGCUAGGUAGGUCCGUUGUGAAAACUCGAGGCUCAACCUCGAGACGCCGAUGGAAACCAUCUGGCUAGAGUCCGGAAGAGGAGAGUGGAAUUCCUGGUGUAGCGGUGAAAUGCGCAGAUAUCAGGAAGAACACCUAUGGCGAAGGCAGCUCUCUGGGACGGUACUGACGCUGAGACGCGAAAGCGUGGGGAGCAAACAGG